CCUACGGGGGGUAGCAGGGAGGAAUAUUGGUCAAUGGGCGUAAGCCUGAACCAGCCAAGUCGCGUGAGGGAUGAAGGUUCUAUGGAUCGUAAACCUCUUUUAUAAGGGAAUAAAGUGCUGGACGUGUCCCGUUUUGUAUGUACCUUAUGAAUAAGGAUCGGCUAACUCCGUGCCAGCAGCCGCGGUAAUACGGAGGAUCCGAGCGUUAUCCGGAUUUAUUGGGUUUAAAGGGUGCGUAGGCGGGCUUUUAAGUCAGCUGGGAAAGUCUGUGGCUCAACCAUAGAAUUGCAGUUGAAACUGGGAGGCUUGAGUAUGUUUGAGGCAGGCGGAAUGCGUGGUGUAGCGGUGAAAUGCUUAGAUAUCACGCAGAACCCCGAUUGCGAAGGCAGCCUGCCAAGCCAUGACUGACGCUGAUGCACGAAAGCGUGGGGAUCAAACAGGAUUAGAUACCCCUGUAGUC
rnacentral:rRNA from 1 species